rnacentral:rRNA from 1 species
ACAGGGAUUGCCCUAGUAACGGCGAGUGAAGCGGCAACAGCUCAAAUUUGAAAUCUGGCGUCUUUGGCGUCCGAGUUGUAAUUUGCAGAGGGCGCUUUGGCAUUGGCAGCGGUCCAAGUUCCUUGGAACAGGACGUCACAGAGGGUGAGAAUCCCGUACGUGGUCGCUAGCCUUUACCGUGUAAAGCCCCUUCGACGAGUCGAGUUGUUUGGGAAUGCAGCUCUAAAUGGGAGGUAAAUUUCUUCUAAAGCUAAAUACUGGCCAGAGACCGAUAGCGCACAAGUAGAGUGAUCGAAAGAUGAAAAGCACUUUGGAAAGAGAGUUAAAAAGCACGUGAAAUUGUUGAAAGGGAAGCGCUUGCAGCCAGACUUGCCUGUAGUUGCUCAUCCGGGUUUUUACCCGGUGCACUCUUCUAUAGGCAGGCCAGCAUCAGUUUGGGCGGUUGGAUAAAGGUCUCUGUCAUGUACCUCUCUUCGGGGAGAACUUAUAGGGGAGACGACAUGCAACCAGCCUGGACUGAGGUCCGCGCAUCUGCUAGGAUGCUGGCGUAAUGGCUGUAAGCGGCCCGUCUUGAAACACGGACCAAGGAGUCUAACAUCUAUGCGAGUGUUUGGGUGUCAAGCCCGAACGCGUAAUGAAAGUGAACGGAGGUGGGAACCUUUCGGGGUGCACCAUCGACCGAUCCUGAUGUCUUCGGAUGGAUUUGAGUAAGAGCAUAGCUGUUGGGACCCGAAAGAUGGUGAACUAUGCUUGAAUAGGGUGAAGCCAGAGGAAACUCUGGUGGAGGCUCGCAGCGGUUCUGACGUGCAAAUCGAUCGUCAAAUUUGGGCAUAGGGGCGAAAGAC